UACGGGGGGAGCAAGCGUUGUUCGGAUUUACUGGGCGUAAAGCGCGUGUAGGCGGCCCGGAAAGUCGGAUGUGAAAGCCCUGGGCUUAACCUAGGAAGUGCAUUCGAAACUGCUGGGCUUGAGUUCUGGAGAGGAAGGCGGAAUUCUCGGUGUAGAGGUGAAAUUCGUAGAUAUCGAGAGGAACACCGGUGGCGAAGGCGGCCUUCUGGACAGUGACUGACGCUGAGACGCGAAAGCGUGGGGAGCAAACAGG
rnacentral:rRNA from 1 species